GGGUCGAUUGGCUGGUUUGUUAGUAAAUUCUUAAUAAAUAUUUUUUAUAUAUAUUUAAUAAAUUUUUCAAUAUAAAUAUAAAGUUCACACAAAUAUUAUUCCUGAAAACCCUAACCCGACACGCCAGAUCCGCAGCUGCCAUGAAGUAUUCAUGGCCAAGCUACUUUGUAGAUCUGAAUCAACUGCAGUUCUUGCAUAUUGCGGUAAGCUAAUUACUGGUUUAGUCGGUGACCUUAUCGGUGAUCUGACUUCUUUAUUUCUCCAGAAAAGGGACAUCAAAUAGCCAUAUAGAAGCAUAUCAUCAGCAUGCCCUAAACCGAUGGCAUUCUCAUGUGCAAGCUGCUCCUUCAUAUCUUUCAAGAUGUCAAAAUCUGAAGGGAUCUGAGCAAACCCAAGUUUCUCUUAUACCACCUGUUAGUUACAAGUUACAAUUCUGUUCGACAUUAUCAUGGGCCUAAGUAUCGAACAAUAUGUGAGAACCAGAAUAUUCCCAGUCAAGUCUCAAGUUUCUGGAAUACAGAAUUUGUAGGAAAUUGUGGCAAGCCAUUAUUAGUUUAUUAGUAAUUUCUUCUUUCCUGUUGAAGUAGUGGUGGGGCCACGCAACAAUUCUCUCUCCAACCAACAAACUUAUACAGGGACUUGCAGUAAUUGAUAUCCUUGCGAAGAGGGGUAGGACUAGUCAUCGAGGAUAAAGGAGAUGUAUGACCAACAUUUGGUGAAAGUGACAGCUUAGGCUGCAAGGUGGUGCGAUGGUCUGCACUUGACAAAACCACAUCAUAUUUGGAACAAGAUGAAGGAACCAACUCAGAAUUAACCAAGGGCUUUCCUCCUGCAUUGUCAAUUCCUAGAUGAGGAGGGGCCCCUUGUUCAUUUACCAAACUACUUUUCACGGAUGUUUCAGGCUUAGUCAUCGUCAAGGGCGCAAAUUUUGCCAUUGGCUUUGGGCCAAAACUUGGUCCAGAUCCUGCAUAGGGAGCUUGGCGUUCAUUAAUGGGUUUGUUAAUUACCUUAUCGGUUUUUGUCCUAGGCAAGGGAAUCAAUUGAUCCACCGGCCUAGACAUGAUACCUAUAAAAGAAUCAGCUGUUGCAGCACCAGUUGCAGCAUUGUUAGCGCUUCCAUGUUCAUUCAUUAGCUUUGGUAUUUCUUCUGGAUUGAGGAGAAGUCUAACCAAUAAGUUGGCAUCGAUCAGACUACCCUGCUCUUGAUUUUUUGCAAGAGCAGUUAUAGCUGUUGCUACAGCAACUGUCAAAUCACAUGUGGAUGGAGAUUUGGUGACAGGGUUGUGCUUAGCAGGUGGCAUUUCAGAAACUUGAGACUCGAGCUGGCGAAUAGUCUGGUUUUCACAUAUUGUUCGAUACUUGGGCCCAUGGUUUUGAUUAGCUAUUUGGUCUGGAAAAAUUUCAGUCUGGUCUGGAGUGCUGAUAUAUUGGGGGACAGAGUUGUAACUAAUAGGUGGUUUAGGAGAAACUUUGGUUUGCUCAGAUCCCUUCAGAUGAGAAGUAGAUUCCACAUUAGAAGGCCAUCUUACAGAAAAAGGAGAUUUGGUCAGAGGUUUCCUGGGAUUUUGGAAGGUUGACAAAGACUGGGGAAGCGAUUUUCCAUUAGCAGGUAGCUUUUGAGAAGUAACUAUACUGACAGAUGAUGAUGGACUAUAAGUUAGACAAGCAUCUGGCAAUUUGCUGCUGAUGGUUUGGGAUGGCGUUAAAUGGAAUGAAACUCCUACAUCUGUUUCUUCUUCGAUGGGAAUGAUUCGAAUUACUGGAGUUUGAUUAUCAUCAUAAGUUUGGUCCAGAUCCGACGAGGUGUAAGGACUGUAUGGCAAUAGGAAAAACAAAAGAUUACAACCAAGUAAUUUGAGACAAAGAAGCUAUAAACCUAAGAGAUAGUCCAAAAAUUACAUACUUAGGAGGAAUUGCAUGCCGAGAAGGACAAACCACCUCAAUCACUCUCUUUUCCCUAUGCUCCUGAUCCCCUGCUUCUUUACUAUCUUCACCAGAAACCACUUGCCACUUAUUGUUCAAAUUAAACUACCAAGAACAACAUGAAAUUAGUUAUUACGUCAAUGUGUGCAGAAACUAUGCAAAUAAAGGCACCUCCUAUCAUCUAAAACUUAGAUUACCUUGGGAGGGCAUUUCCAUUUAGCCAAAGAUCUGUAAGAAAAUCUCUCUUUUGACUUCAUCAGGCAAUGCAUCUGCUUUAAAUGAGGAUGAUGUUGAGAUCUCUUACCUA